rnacentral:rRNA from 1 species
UGGGGAAUAUUGGACAAUGGGCGCAAGCCUGAUCCAGCAAUGCCGCGUGUGUGAAGAAGGCCUUCGGGUUGUAAAGCACUUUUUAUCAGGAGCGAAACGCUGUCGGCUAAUACCCGGCGGAACUGACGGUACCUGAGGAAUAAGCACCGGCUAACUUCGUGCCAGCAGCCGCGGUAAUACGAAGGGUGCAAGCGUUAAUCGGAAUUACUGGGCGUAAAGCGUGCGUAGGCGGUUUCUUAAGUCUGCUGUGAAAUCCCCGGGCUCAACCUGGGAAUGGCAGUGGAUACUGGGAGGCUAGAGUGUGUCAGAGGGUGGUGGAAUUCCCGGUGUAGCGGUGAAAUGCGUAGAGGUCGGGAGGAACAUCAGUGGCGAAGGCGGGCCACCUGGGACAACACUGACGCUGAGGCACGAAAGCGUGGGGAGCAAACAGGAUUAGGAUACCCUGGUAGUCCACGCCCUAAAGCGAUGCGAACUGGAUGUUGGUCUCAACUCGGAG